UACGAAGGGGGCUAGCGUUGCUCGGAAUCACUGGGCGUAAAGCGCACGUAGGCGGAUCUUUCAGUCAGGGGUGAAAUCCCAAGGCUCAACCUUGGAACUGCCUUUGAUACUGGGGAUCUCGAGUCCGGAAGAGGUGAGUGGAACUGCGAGUGUAGAGGUGAAAUUCGUAGAUAUUCGCAAGAGCACCAGUGGCGAAGGCGGCUCACUGGUCCGGUACUGACGCUGAGGUGCGAAAGCGUGGGGAGCAAACAGG
rnacentral:rRNA from 1 species